GACGAACGCUGGCGGCGUGCCUAAUACAUGCAAGUCGAACGCAGUGGGGACGGGUGAGUAACACGUGGGUAACCUUCCAUUAGAGGGGAUAACACUUGGAAACAGGUGCUAAACCGAUAUUGAUGGAUGGACCCGGGGUGCAUUAGCUAGUUGGUGGGGUAACGGCUCACUAAGGCCACGAUGCAUACCUGGCCUGAGAGGGUGAUCGGCCACACUGGAACUGAGACACGGCCCAGACUCCUACGGGAGGCAGCAGUGGGGAAUAUUGGACAAUGGGCGAAAGCCUGAUCCAGCCAUGCCGCGUGUGCGAAGAAGGCCUUCGGGUUGUAAAGCACUUUUGGCAGGGAAGCGGUACCUACAGAAUAAGCACCGGCUAACUACGUGCCAGCAGCCGCGGUAAUAC
rnacentral:rRNA from 1 species